AACUAUAUUCAUGGACUGUUUUGUUACAUGUCGGCAGGGCUGAUUUGUUACAUCCGGGCGGGAUUGCUACAUAAAUAGGGCUGUUUUGUCACAUCGGGUUGUUUUGUUACGGGAGAUCGGGCGGUUUUGCUACCAUUCCGGCUGUUUUGUUACCGUGCAUAAUUUCAAGAUGGCAGCGUGAUUGGCGCAGCGACACUCCAACAGUAGUUUAGCAAAUCUUUUUGGUUAAGUUUGGGGCCUGUGCUGUAUUGUAAACAAAACUCUCUCUACAAUAAGUUGUUCAAAGUUUAUGCUGGCUAGCUAACUGUGUUUUGCUUUGGUUUAUAUCGCCAGUUUUCAUUUAGCUGGCAGCAACACUCGUGUAGAUAGCUAGCUCUAGCUAGCUAUCUCAAUGAAAGUAUUUUAUGUUUGUUUUACUAUUAUUAAAAAACGUUGUGGAAUAGGUGAAAUAGCUAGCUAACUUACCCAGUUACAAAAGCUAUAGCUAGCUCGUUAGUUGUAGAAGCUAUCUAGCUAGGUUCUUGUAGCUAAUUGUAGUGUUUAAAAUCAUCAGAAGACCAGAGAGCAGUGUUCAAUUUCCCUUGGCCGGCUGGUCAUAUAUAUUGCGGCGCCAAGCCUUUAUCAGUCUUAGGGUUAAAAAAGUUUAAAAAAUGUUACUGCUUUUAUGACUUGUCUGAAAGUUUGUUACAUGUAACUAGGGUAAUUAGCCAUGAUCCACAUUCCCUUGGAGGUUCAUCUGGAUGGGGGGGAGCUAUGGUAACUUUCAAUAACCAGCAUAUAUAAUAGCCGCAUUACAAAAUUGAACCGGCGUCUCCUGCACAAAGUAUGUGAGUUAUGUGACCUCCCAAAAAUGUAUCGAGUGUGUUAAAAGUAACCUUGGAAAAAGUAUCUGCUAUAUAGAGCAUUCUAUAAGAGCUAGUUUUUUUGACUAAAAUAUGGACAUAUUGGAUACAAUAUAAUUUUUUUUCUUUUAAUUCAUUUACCCGAAAUACAAUGUCUUUCCUGUACCACAUUUACUUUGUCGUUGUGAAAAAAUAUAAUAUACAAAUAUUUAUUCCAAAAACACCAAACUAAUUUGUGACAAUAUUGUGUUGUGUUCACUUCUCUGUGAAGUGUCUAGAGCUAGCAUACUGGAACAAUGUGCAAUAUUUCAUGUUUUUAUAAAAAUAAGAUAGCAUAGCUUCAUAAAUGUACAACACAAGACAUUUCAUUCCUAGCCAAACAAUUAUGGUAGGCAUAAAUGCUUUUCAAAUCAUGGAUAUUAAAUAUUUAUUAUCUUUUCAUUCUUUUUAUAUAAAAGUGUUAAUUUGUAUAGUUCUUUUAUUGCUUGUGACAACUUCAUAAGUUUGUCUGCAUCAACAUUUCUGGUAUUGAACACAUUUGUUUCUGGACAUUUGUAACUUUAUUUAUAUAUAUUAAGCUGUGAAUUUCUAUAUUACAAUUUAUAUACAUCAUAGCUGGUCUUUGAAUACCAUUUGUACCUUGCACAGUGAAGUUGUUUGUUUAAAGGCAUUAUACAAUAUUUUUUAUAUAUACAUCAAUGACGUUCUUUAUCUGUAAAAAUGUCAUAACUUUUGUUGACAUCAGUGUGUGAAAAAUCAUGUUAAAACACAGAAGCUUUUGAAUGCAAAAAACAUCUUUAUAUUUAUUUUUUAUUACUUGGCUGAUACACGGAAGAGUUAUAUGAAAAAUGCAAUGGUUUGAUUUGUUUAUGGCUCAUAAAACAGGGAUUUUUAUGCACCCAUUCUUUGGUUUUUGGAGGGCAAUAAUAUAAUGAUACCAUAAGAACACAAGAUAAUAUCUAUAAUUUUUUUUAUUAUUUGCAUAUUCUUUAAUAUUUCUUUAAGAACAAAUGAACAGCUGAUUUGCCAUAGAGAGUAUAUAUGCGCUACUGGAUACGGUGGUAGAUGCAAUUAUAUAUUAUAUAUGUAAUGUACUCUUUAAAUGAUAUAAAACUGUCUUUAAAAGCUCUGCUAAAAUUCAGACAAUAUUGACAUCGAAAAACAAAUGCCAACUACCACCACUAAGUCAAUCCGGCGUAUACAUUAUCCCAUGCAAAUGCGGCAAAAAAUAUUUUGGGGAGACGAAGUUGGGAAUCGCUACCCGCUUCGAACAACACAAAGACACCAACAUUAAAGAAAAGUGGAGCGCAUCAGGAGAUUCAUUUCACUCUAGUUCUUGUAAUGCUGGUUAUGAUUGGGACAAUGCGAAAAUGCUUAAACAAGAUUUUAAUAAAUUUGAUUGUAAGGUACGACGUCGAUUUGAUGUCAAUGUAAUGACAACCGUUAAAAAAAUUUUUAUAGUCUGAUGAAGACCUCCAAUAUGGAGGUCGAAAUAUUACCAUAAAAAUAUAUAUGCUGAACGACCAUGUAUAUGUUUCUUUAAAGUAUAUGUAAUGUACAUUUUCUACUCAACUUAAAAAACGAUUAUCUUUUUCAUAUUUUGGACAUAUAUAUAUAUCUUUCACUGAUCCCAAGUUUUAAUUUUCCUUUAUUCAUACGUCAUGCAAUUAUGAAAUUCUGUGUGUAUUUGCACAUUUUUGAGAUUCUUAAUUGCGUAAGGUAUAUAAAUACAGAUUUUUCAAAAAAUGAAAUUAGAAGAACUACAAAAUAACAUAAUUUUGUAGAUCGUUUUUCACUGAAACAGCAAAAAAAAUUGUUGUCCAACACAAAAUACACAAGGGUUUCGACUUGUACUCUAGGUUUACCUGUACUUUAAGCACUCGAUCUCCCAUUAAAAGUUGACCAAAUAGCUAAAAUUGUGUUGUUUGAAAUAACGUAUUAUGCAUAAUCUCUUCAUAAGUUUAUUAAAAAAUAUAAUGUUACAUAUAUAUAUAAAUCAAAUUGCAAAAGUCAACACGUAUUUCUGGUUUAUAACUAUUACAUAUCCAAAACCUCUAGUGUAAAGUUCUAUCCCGCAUAAAAUUUCAAUGUGCUAUAUUCUCUUUUAUUGACCUUUUCACAGUUUAAGUUGUUCACUUAUUUUCUGUAUUAAAAAAGGAAGUAAACAGAGUGAAUUUAAUAAGACCAUGGGCAUUAUGAAUAUUUUGUAUUUUCUAAAAAAAUGGUUUUAAGGCAUGAAAAUUUAGUAAGUUAUUGCCAGUAACCCUACUUAAAACAUAUGUGAAUGAUUUGUAACUUUUCUUAAUUCAUAACAGUUUACUUCCAUUUUUCAAUUCUCAAAAAAGAGCAUUGUAACAAAAGAAAGAUUUAUUUAAACAAUAGUUAGUUAAAACUGUGAACUCUUGUAUUGCCUAAUUUAUUUAAUGUUUUUUAACAUCAUUUUUAUUUUUUUAUUAUGUAUAUGUUUUGUGACAACUGCUAUUUUAUAUAUAAAGGUCAGCCAUGUUUGAUGUUUGGUGCCUUAUUGUCUAUCCUUAUUCAUAGGAAUUACUUUUUCUUAGUUAUAAAGAUAAAGAACCAAUAUUGAACUAAACUGCUAAGUUGACAUGAACGCUGCUAGAAAAUAUCCACAUUGAUGCAACACAUUCCAACUGCUUGGCGAGAUUCGUGAACCAUGCCCAUCCCGGUGUGCCAAUUGUAAAAUAGUGUUACUGGUUCGUGACAAAGUGCCGUAUCUAGGCUUAAAGUCUUUAAAACUCAUAAAGACUAAUGAAGAGCUUAGAUACGAUUAUGGUGACAAAUGCAUGUUGUCUUUGAGAAAGCAGAAGAACUUGUGUGUGCCAUUACAUUUAAAAGAUAUAGAGAAUCAGCUAAAAAAGAUCUCCCAUGCAAGUAUUCUGAAACUGAAGGAAGGGCAAAAAACUGUAAUUGAGGUAGAAGGUGAGCACACUUACAAUGAGAAGUAUAACCUUUCAUCAAUAAACGUGUAUUGUGACACAAUUAUUUUUAUAGUAUUAAAACAGCCUUACAUGAUUAUCAGAGAUCGUGAAAAUUUGUUCAAGCCAUUAAUAUAUAAGACGAAGAUCCCUAAUCUUCACUUUGAAAAGGGUUGUCUGUUUGAAAUCGACAAGGAAAUCACAAGACAUGACUCGUGUGAUACAAGGCAUCUUAACAGUUCACAUCUAAAUUAGUAUUCUCUAUGGUGCUCUUUUUUAUUCCUAGGGUCACUAUUUUAAAGUAAGAGUCUGUGUGUUUUAAUUUUAUGCUAGCUACAACUUCUUAACUGUUUCUGGAAAAGUAUUACUUGGUGCUUUGCAGCUAGUGGGCGGCAAAAAACUUUUUUUAUGGUAUGACAAAUCAACAACGUAGAAAAUGCCUAGAUGUAUUUUCUACAAUUCCUGCAUUACACAUUGUUUUUUGAAAGAUAACCGUAUUUUGACCUGAGCCUCAAUUUUCUUUGCAAAAUGACUGAAUAUAGGCUCAAAUUUUCUUAUUUUUUUUCCUAAUUUUUAUUCCUCUUUGUUUUCUUUAUAAAUAACUACGAUAUUUUAUCGACAUUUGAAAUAACAUUUUUAUUGAAGAAAAAAAGACCUCUUUUGUUAUUUUGGGAUAAAACUUUGUUAGUAAUUAAUUCCACAAUUUUGAAUACAUUUUGCCUCCAGAGAUCCAUGAAUGCUGUAUAGCUACUUUACGGAAAAAAAAGAAACUUGAUUGUGUUCUUCUGAAAUUACGGAUAUUUUGGUAACUGUAAAUCUAAAUAUCAAGGUCUUUAAAAAUUGAAUCUUGACAAGCUGAAACCGGGGAUUUUCCUAAAAUGUUUUUACGAUUUCAAGGUUUUUGAGCGUCAUCUAAUAAUCUACACAUUUGUAAAAGAAAGCGCAAAAGUAUUCGUUUUAUCAUAACUCCAACAACGUCUCUUAAGAUCCUUUCUAUUAAUGUUCACGUAAUAAAUAUGUUCUUCCUAGACCUCAAGAUGUUGCCGAUGAUGGCUUUUGUGAAUGUUGCAAGAUACGUUACACAUCACUACAACAUGUAUAUGUGCUGGCUUAAUUGCAAAGAUGAUUCACUAGCGAAAGUGUAGGGAGUCAGAACACUAUAUAUGGAAUAGGAACAUCUGGUUCAGAGCUGCCAAAAUUUAUCUGUUCUUCCAUCCACGAUAUUUCUUGAACAUUUGCAACAAACAUGCAUCAAACAUUCGCAAUAAGAUGAAAAUAAAUUUACACAAGUUAUUGACUUGAUCAAUUCAUGGCUUGAAAUUCAUUAAAAGUAUUAUAGAACAUUCAAUUUAUUGUUAGGUUAUGCCAUAAAUGUUUUUCUAUUUACAAAACAUAGCAUUUUAAUUGUAAUUCAUAUUUCUUCUUAUUGGAAAAAAGAUUAUAUUUUAUUAUA